rnacentral:rRNA from 1 species
AUGUACACGAUGAAGGUGGUGGACCGGCGCGCCGUGGCCAAGAAGCACAAGUUGGAGCGCGCGGCCGCCGAGAAGCGCAUCCUGCGGCUGCUCGACCACCCGUUCCUCCCCACGCUCUUCGCCGACUUCGAAGCCGCCCCGCGCUUCUCAUGCGUCGUCAUGGAGUUCUGCCCCGGCGGCGACCUCCACUCCCUCCGCCACCGCAUUGCCCUCCCGCCGCUUCCCGCUCUCCUCCGCCCGGUUCUACGCGGCCGAGGUGCUCCUGGCGCUCGAGUACCUGCACAUGAUAGGCAUCGUCUACCGCGACCUCAAGCCAGCCGUCGCCGAGGAGGAGGAACAGGAGGAGCCGCGCAGCGCGUCCUGCUUCCCGAUACGUUUCAAGCGGCGGAGGCAUCGUCGCCGGUGCGCGCGUCUCCCCCGCGGCUCGUGGCGGAGCCGGUGUCUGCGCGGUCGUGCUCGUUCGUCGGCACGCACGAGUACGUGGCCCCGGAGGUGGCAGGCGGCGGCGCGCACGGCGCCGCCGUGGACUGGUGGGCCUACGGCUUGUUCCUCUACGAGCUUCUCCACGGCCGCUCCGCGUUCGCCGGCGCCACCAACGGGACACGCUCCGCAACAUCGUCCGCGCGCCGCUCACCUUCCCCUCCUCCUCUGUCACCGGCUACCACGCCGACACCACCGCGGCGUGGGACCUCAUCGCGCGCCUGCUCACCAAGGACCCCGCCGCCCGCCUCGGGUCCCGCCACGGCGCCGCCGACGUGA